CAGUCGCCGCGGGAAUACGUAGGUGGCAAGCGUUGUCCGGAAUUAUUGGGCGUAAAGGGCUCGCAGGCGGUUUCUUAAGUCUGAUGUGAAAGCCCCCGGCUCAACCGGGGAGGGUCAUUGGAAACUGGGAAACUUGAGUGCAGAAGAGGAGAGUGGAAUUCCACGUGUAGCGGUGAAAUGCGUAGAGAUGUGGAGGAACACCAGUGGCGAAGGCGACUCUCCGGUCUGUAACUGACGCUGAGGAGCGAAAGCGUGGGGAGCGAACAGGAUUAGAUACCCGUGUAGUCCCUGUCUCUUAUAC
rnacentral:rRNA from 1 species